rnacentral:rRNA from 1 species
AUGAACGCUGGCGGCGUGCUUAACACAUGCACGUCGAACGGUGAAGGCGGAGCUUGCUCUGCUGGAUCAGUGGCGAACGGGUGAGUAACACGUGAGCAAUCUGCCCCUGACUCUGGGAUAAGCGCUGGAAACGGCGUCUAAUACUGGAUACGAGCUGCGAAGGCAUCUUCAGCAGCUGGAAAGAAUUUCGGUCAGGGAUGAGCUCGCGGCCUAUCAGCUUGUUGGUGAGGUAAUGGCUCACCAAGGCGUCGACGGGUAGCCGGCCUGAGAGGGUGACCGGCCACACUGGGACUGAGACACGGCCCAGACUCCUACGGGAGGCAGCAGUGGGGAAUAUUGCACAAUGGGCGAAAGCCUGAUGCAGCAACGCCGCGUGAGGGACGACGGCCUUCGGGUUGUAAACCUCUUUUAGCAGGGAAGAAGCGAAAGUGACGGUACCUGCAGAAAAAGCGCCGGCUAACUACGUG